GCCGACAUGGCGGAAUUGGCAGACGCACUGCACUCAAAAUGCAGCGCCCUUGCGGGCGUCCGGGUUCGACUCCCGGUGUCGGCA
rnacentral:tRNA from 4 species